GUCCCAGAACCUUUGUUCCCCUUAUAAACCAUUACCUAGGCUCCCAGAACCUCAGGACCUCCAGCCCUUCCACAGCUUUGUCCUCCAGACAGAUCCCUUCAGCCUGAGAAGUGACUGAGGCGUGGCUCAGUAAGAGGGUGGGAGGAUGCUGGAGGGGAUGUGCUGCAGGAGGGCUUUCUGUGUUCUUGCCAUGGGCCCUGCAAAUACUGGGGAGGGCUUGUCCCUGUAUCUACACCCUUAUAAUAAAUCCUUGAAUUUACUCAUUUCAAGUGUGCAGCAGUUUCCUUUCAAGACCCUGCACAGAGCAGACUUAGAAAUCUGAGGGGCCUAAAGCCAAGACUACUGGCCAUGGAAAAGCAAAAGUUCACAUGAGAGGUCCCAGCUUAGGCACUGGGGCAGCCAAGUCAUCUCUGCUUAGGAGAGAAAAUAAGGGCUGGUAUAGAAAGGGAAUUGCUCAAGACAGGCCACACACCCUGCAGCAGAAUCAUGCUGGGUUGUCUGUAUAGGGGAGGAUUGGUGAGGAAGGGCAGAGUGAAGGCCAACAGUUUGGUCCCAGAACAGGGAAGGCUGGGUGGGCCAGGCCUGGCUCCAACCCUACCCUUGAACCAGACUGCAAACACUCAAGUUAUGCAAACAGAUUAACCUCACAAUGGAGAGGGAACAGAUACAAUUAAAUACAACCUUGCUUUCCAUUUUACUCAUGUUUAGCAAUUAAUUUAUUUUUUAUUUAACUAAUUGAUUUUUAGUUUUUUAAGAACUUUAUCAACAUCUUCAUAUUUUUUGAGACAGGGUCACCCAAGCUGCAAUGCACUGAUGCAAUCAUGGCUCACUGCAGCCUCGACUUCCUAGGCUCAAGCUGUCCUCCUGUGUCAGCCUCCUGAAUAGCAAGGGCUACAGGUGUGUGCCACCCACCACGCCCUGCUAAUUUAUUUUUUGUACAACGACAGGGUCUCACUUUGCUACCCAGCCUGGUCUGAGCUUAAUUAUUUUUCCACCUCAGCCUCCCAAAGUGCUGGGAUUACAGGCAUGAGCCACCAUGCCGAGCCCUUCAUACUUCUUAAUAAACAGACCUGUGACUUCAGUACCAGUAUGUGAAGGAAAAGUCCACCUUAAUUCAAAAAGAACGAGAGGGGGGUCCCAAAAGGAGUUUGUUCUGAGGCCUGUUCUCUGCUCACUGAAGGACACUUGGAUGACGGGGCCUCUGGGAGAAAGGGUGAAAUGUUUUGUUCUGCCUUUCAGAUAGAGGAACAUCACCUCUUACAUGGGCUGCUGCCGCAUAGGGACUGCCAUCUCUGCUUCCAUUGCAGUUCUUCCCCGACACUGGCUCUGCUCCCCUAAAACUGUAAGGUCAAAGCAACCACCUAGAAUGGUGAAGCUACUUACUGUGCUUUUCCUUACAUCAGUUUGGUAUAAAUGCACUGGAUGUUACCCAAGGGUUUAUAACCACCAAAGUUUGCUCUUCCCAUGAGGUUGUGCAAACAUCAGCUAUGGCCACAAAUGAUAGGCAGGAAUGACAUGUAUGUCAGUUGAGACUGCACAUCUCCCACACAGGUACCUUGAUCAGCUCACAAAAAUUAAAAUACUAGCUUAUUUGAGGAAAAAUGAGAAAAAAAAAAGCCAUCUGAUUCCCAGCCUGGGCAACAUGGCAAAACUCCGUCUCCACAAAAAAAAAAAAAAAAA
ensembl:lncRNA